rnacentral:rRNA from 1 species
UACGUAGGUGGCAAGCGUUGUCCGGAUUUACUGGGCGUAAAGUGCGCGCAGGCGGUCGUUCAAGUCGCGUGUGAAAGCCCCCGGCUCAACUGGGGAGGGUCACGCGAUACUGAUCGACUCGAAGGCAGGAGAGGGGAGUGGAAUUCCCGGUGUAGUGGUGAAAUGCGUAGAUAUCGGGAGGAACACCAGUGGCGAAGGCGACUUCCUGGCCUGUUCUUGACGCUGAGGCGCGAAAGCUAGGGGAGCAAACGGG